GUGCUACGGCAGCACAUAUAUUGAGAUUGGAACGAUACAGAGAAGAUUAGCAAG
rnacentral:snRNA from 1 species